UGCAGGAUCAGGUCACAUUCGGUGGGGAUAUAAAAUCCCCUGGAUUUGUACUCUAAUCAUUUACCGUGAGAGAAAAAAAGCCAGAACAGUUACACUACUCACCUAUUUGAGGCUGAGAAAAAAACAAAAAAAUGACUAAAAUGGUGAUGGCCUACAUUGGCUUCCUUCUCCUUGCCAUGCAUUUGUCAUCACAAGUCUACUCACAAAACAUUGGGCGUAGGCCUACAACAAGGUCCCCGGCAGUGACUGUGAACACUACCAAAGUUGGCGGCGCGCGUUCCAAUAUGACCAAGUUACCCGAUGUCACUACCACCAACAUCACCAUCCCCAAAGGAGCCUGCGUGUCCUUGGAGUCCAGUGCGUUUACGCUGUUCAUUCCCAUGGUGGCGGGCUCGCUUGUACAGGGCCGCUUAUAGAGUGCUCAUCUGCACUAAACGGACACCGCCACGAAUAACAUCGGCGGCGCACUUUUUUUUAAUACGUUCUGGAAAGGCAGCUAUGUGCGUACCAAACCAGAGGGAUUCGGUGGAAUUGGAAGAUUGAACGCGUGGACGAGAACCUUUCUUUCCACCGAUGGGAAUCAUUUCAAACCAGUAUAGGCAGGCGUACACUCCCUGCCUACUGACCCCAAGCCCUAUGGUGUGGUCCCCUCCAUGAAGGCAGGCCAUGAUGAGAAUGUACUGAACUCUGCUUUGACUCUGUUGGUUCCUGUGUCCAGACAGCAGGGGGUUGUUUUGGACUGUUAUGUAACUUCUGAAGUGUAAAUGUUGGCUGUGCCUGGGAAAUCAACUGCAUAUAAUGAAAUGUUGGUUGAGAUGCAUUGUGGAAAUAACUUAACCUAUCUUGUCUGAUCUUGUGUGUAAGCGUUGCUUCCGUUCCCCUCCUUGCCCCAACCUGGGCUUGAACCGGUGACUCUGAACACAACUGCCUCCUACCGUUAACUAGCUAGCCUGCCUCCCACCGUUAACUAGCUAGCCACUUCGUACCGAUAACACUGGAUAUUUCUACUCCUGAAACUGCAAUGGAUACUUUGUCAGAGGCUUGAUGUACGUACCAUUGUGAUUUGUAGAGUGCAACUUCUCGGCAUGUGAUUUUAAUUGUGUAAAUCGGUGUAAUAUGCUUAGAUUAUUUAUUUUGUGUUGUCAGGUUCAAUAAAGCUUUGACAUGUACAAAAAUGAUAUUCCAUGUUGUACAAUAAAAUUAACAACCUUGA